GCCAGGGUGGCAGAGCGGUAAUGCGCCGGCCUCGAGAGCCGGUGGGCGGUUCGCCCUCAAGGGUUCAAAUCCCUUCCCUGGCGCCA
rnacentral:tRNA from 1 species